AAAAGCACAUCAAGGCUCGGGCCUGAAGGAGCUUGCAGGUUCACUGGGGAGUCAGGGCCUCACUUUUAAUCCUAUUUUGCAGUUAUUUAUACAUAUAAAUACAACCAGGAAGGCAGCAUGAACAUUUGAGGAAGGAAGAGAUUACCGCUGGCCACAGAGGAUUAGAGGAAGAUGUGUGGAGGGGAAGUACUUGUGGCUGGUGUUUUUGGAGCAGAGUGAGCUGGGAGGGGGUAAGAUGUGACCGGCAGAGCCAAGACCGUGGGAAAGGGAGGGCUGCCCACUUACCAUGUGCCAGGGCACAUCCCAAGCCCUUUACAAACAUUGACUUUUUCUCCUGACAACCCUGGGAGGUUGGCAUUUUUCUUACCCCUGUUUUCCAAAUGAGGAAAGUAAGGCGCAGGUAAGGCAGCUUGCCACUGUAGCAAGUAGGGAGCUGAUCUGGGGCCUUAAGGAACCUCAGCACCAACCCUCUUCCUCUAAGCUCUGCUCCCCUCAAUCUGACCAGCAAUGGCAAAGGCUGAAGAUCACCGUGGAGACCCU
rnacentral:lncRNA from 1 species